AUGAAGAAGGUUAUCCGUUUAGACAACCCACCGGUCAUCAGCGCUCGCAACCGCCAUGAAAAUUCGUGCGAUGCAUAAGGAAAAUAGGCAAGAGUCAUGAGCGAUAAAAUUUUCAGAAUGUUUGUUUAUCUCAAUUCAUGUAGAUCUUAUUUAUGCUUGCGACCUAAAGAUCUUCAACGUAUUAUCCGUUGCCCCACUUACCAUCAAUGAAGGAUUUGACCAAUCGGCGCAUAGAAUUUUGCCUUCGUGCCCUACCAUGUCAUACAAUGGUGCCUUCGGACUGCAAAAUAAAGAAUUAUUAACC